AGACUCAAAGCAGAUUCAAAAGGUCACUGGGUUAGAAGUGUAAGGACCAGGAGCAAUGAAGUUCUCAUCAUCUUCCUUCAAGAAAUGCUUAUCUGGGCUUAAAUCCUCCAUCUUUAGCAAUGAAGAAUCUGGCAGCCUGAAUAGAAUACAGAGCUGUGAGAAAUGCCAGCUCAUUGCCUCCAUUGCCCAGUCUAUAUAGUUCACUCAUCACGUCACCAUAACUGCAGUAAUGGAGAUACUCACAGGCUUUCAUCUUCUAUUCUUGUCCCAGUGUUUAUGAAAGGAAUGGGAAGAGUGAAUAUGGAUCAGACACAGAUAAACCAGCCUGAGAGACAGGCCCUCGUGCCUGUAAUCCAAACCCACUUACCCAGAGCCUAAGUUUGGUAAAUGAGACCAUCAGUUAUUCCUAGAAAAGCUGCAAGGACAGGAAGAAGCAUGCACAUUCCAAGACCACUGCAGCUCUGAAAGGCCCCUCUUCCCAAAGCUACGGCAGGUCUCUCACCAUUUUCAGACAGCAGGUCACUAUGAAUUACUAAUUAUCAAAGCAGGCAAGUCAUGUCCGUUGUUGACCUACUGUGUGAGCUGGGCAGAAAACCAAAUCUGUUCCCACUGCACUGACUCAGGCUGUAAAGUGAUGUAAAUGUAAAAUAUGUGCACUGAAGAGGUUUGAAGCUUAAUAUAGAUCUUGUUAAAUGUUCAUAAAGAAUACUGAAGCCCUUAGAUUAAGAGGUACACCAGAGGAGAGUGAUAGGGUUAUAAAAUCCAUUUUUGCAAAUAACUCAUAUUUAUAUAGUGCCUUUCAGCCUACGGAUCCCAAAGCCUUUUUCCAGCAUAACACCCUGAUAUACUGUGUGUGCUUCACCUACCAGUUCAAGGCAACCUCCCCUCAAGUGAAAUGUGGCAGCUAUGUAAUAGCCCCGAGUAGUAGUAACUUUAAUAAUAGCAAGGCAUUUAUAUGGUCUUACAAACUUCAGAGAGUUAAUUCCCUGCCCCUUCAGGAAGCAGACAAGGUUUAUUAUUCCCAUUUCACAAAGGCAAUAUAACCAGAGUGGACAAGAGUGGAGAAAAUCUGCACUCGCAGAGAUUUAUAAAGUGAAAUUCCAUGCAUGAGCCUAAAGUGCUUUUAAUUCCACGUAGGGAAAAACAUAUCAACACGUCUUAUUAAAAAAGGAGUCCUUUACUAAAAAUAAUGAUGUGGAGAGAGCUCUGAUCUGGAUUCUAACACCUGCCACUUCAGCUGAAUAAACUGCCUCCUCAAGCACGUGUUGACAUAGAAACAUCAUGGUCCACAAAUGCUUCUGUGCCAUGAAACAAAUUGGGCGCUCAAAAUAUACUGCCAAGAAUCAGACAAUCUGUUUUAAGAGGACCCAAGAGUUAGUAAAAACCUCUUGAAAUAUAGCAGGAAAGAAAGCUGCAGCAACACCAAUCUCCGAGGCAGACUGGCAUUGUUCUUGCAGCUUUACAGUUCUUUUCAGCCCACCUGCACUGCACUGCAACGAUGCUUUCAACAAGGGAGAAAACUUGAUUUUGUUACCCCAAAAGGUUCUGCAAAACGUUCCUGAAUGUGGAGUCCUUCUUUGUAUGCAUAGGAGAAGAAAGGCACCGAAUCAUCAGGAUUUCACUUCUUUAGUGAGAACUGGAGUCCUGUCCCCAGGUCAUAUUACUGUUCCUGUAUUUUUUACUCAGCAGUGGUGAAGAGGAAAAAAGGAGCGUAAAAGGACUACCUUACCCCUGGAAUCUCAAACAUCUUUUUAAUGACGGCACUGAAAAUCCUCCCAGCUUUCAUUCUUCCCGCUCUUACCUACCAAGGACUUGUCCUUUUGCAACUUGAGCAAUUAUUCACAGCCUGAACCAGGAAACACCCUCAUCUAUACAUCCCUUUGCUCCCUAGGACUUUGCUUAUCUAGCUCAGAUUACGUGAAGUCGCUGCGAUCUCCCUCCAGCCACAGCAGGUUUUCAGUGGGGCUCCAACCACGUUUUUAGCCACUGUGACAACUUCCAGCCAUCUGCAAAGGGAUCUGCACCACUGCUUGUCCUUCCAGCACAGCCACAUCCUGAAGUCACUCCCACAGCCCGGCCUAUGCCAGGGGCAGGUGGAGGCUGAGCCGUGACAUCUGUGCCCUGCAGGACCUGGGGAUGAGGUGCAGGGAGGCAAAAGAAAUGAACUGACCCAUGCCGAGCAUCAUCAACUCUCUGGCAAAGUGAUUUCCAUUCACAGUAGCACAUUUGCUGGAGGAAUCAUUUCCCAUUCAUCACUGCAGCUAUUGGAAUGUAACUUUGCCAGCCAGGGCUCGGCCUCUCUUUCCAAAACACCCUCAGUGUGCUAUAUAGCAUCUUCACGAUGCGCCACAUGGAUCAGUGCUCCUGCCUGACUCACUGACCUUCUUCACUUCACAGAAGCUGCUUCCUUUCAUCUGUCUGGCUUCGUUUCCCCCGGAGAAGCCUGCACUUCCACAGUCCCACUGCAGCCUCCGGAGGGAAAGGGUGUCUGGGGAAUAAAGGACAUCUUUAAUGCUCUCCUCGCUACCUUUUAGGCAGGCCUGGUGCCCUCCAGCACCCGAAUGCCAACAAAGCAGCAUCAUGCAUGGGAAGUCACGCAUUCAGGGAAGUUUUAUGAAAAGCUAUUGCAGAGCUAUACAAACGCUGGCAAACACACCGUGGCCUGAACUCAUAGCCUGACCCUCAUUUAGGCACGUGGACAAGGAUACAGGGCCUAGCUUUGGUGCUCAGAAAUAAAACAUGAGCCUUUCUGACACUGUCAAACGUAAAACCAAGCACAAAAUCAUUUCCUGGCACUGCGCUCACAGCAAAGAGCUUUUAACCUUUUCUGCUUUUGGAAUAAUUUGUUUAACUUUCUGGCAUUUCACUACCACACAAGUCAAACACACCAUCGAGUGUCUAGAUCAAGGCCCAGGGGAAAAACCUCCCUGGUGUACUUCAUGCAGUUACAAAACAACAGAGAUGGUGGUGGAUGGGAGCCUCUGACUUUGCUUCCUUAGCAACGUGGAUGCCGGGAAACCGAACACAUGGCAUUGCAGGCAGCUGCUGGGCACGUGUCGCUGCUACAGUCCAGGAGAGGUGCAAUCUCAGCUCCACUGACUGACACAGCGGCAGCACAGCGCUGUGGGCUCCGUGGGUGCUGCAUCUUCCCUGCUCCGUCUGCCUGCAGAGGGCCCAGCUCUGUGGGAUGUGCUGAAGUUCAGUUUUGACCUUGAGUAAUCGGUGUAAUGAAGGGUGUCCUCAUAGGACUGAGCUACCACAUCAGGAGACUUACAAGCUUAAGAUAGCUUACAGGUCCUUAUUUAUAGCUCUCAGACUUAAGCCCAGACCUGGAGACCCAUACAUUUGGGCUUAGAGGUGUUUGAACUGGUGGAAGAAAAUGGAGAGAAACAGGAAAGGCUUAUAGACCAUACAUCUUUCAUCUCGACCGCAAUAAACCUAUUAGCAGCGCACAGGUUGCACUUCAGCAAGCCAUCCGGGACUCACUGCAUGAAUAGCCAGCCAACCAGUGGGAGGCAAAGUCAUCAUCGGCUUUUGUGUCCUUUGAUUACUGUUAUUCAAACUAAACAAAGAUUUGUGGU
rnacentral:lncRNA from 7 species